UCAUAACUGCGUUAGGGAUUGAAGCGGCAUCCUUUUUUAUGUCAGUUCGAGUGUUUUGUGAAGAAUGAACAAAAUGUAUCGAGAACAAAUAAAAAAGAUAUAGCGUAAAGCCCGACCUUUU
rnacentral:sRNA from 1 species